AGCGAACGCUGGCGGCAGGCCUAACACAUGCAAGUCGGACGAAGUCUUCGGACUUAGUGGCGGACGGGUGAGUAACACGUGGGAACGUGCCUUUAGGUUCGGAAUAACUCAGGGAAACUUGUGCUAAUACCGAAUGUGCCCUUCGGGGGAAAGAUUUAUCGCCCUUAGAGCGGCCCGCGUCUGAUUAGCUAGUUGGUGAGGUAAAGGCUCACCAAGGCGACGAUCAGUAGCUGGUCUGAGAGGAUGAUCAGCCACAUUGGGACUGAGACACGGCCCAAACUCCUACGGGAGGCAGCAGUGGGGAAUCUUGCGCAAUGGGCGAAAGCCUGACGCAGCCAUGCCGCGUGAAUGAUGAAGGUCUUAGGAUUGUAAAAUUCUUUCACCGGGGACGAUAAUGACGGUACCCGGAGAAGAAGCCCCGGCUAACUUCGUGCCAGCAGCCGCGGUAAUAC
rnacentral:rRNA from 1 species